rnacentral:rRNA from 1 species
GAUGAACGCUAGCGGCAGGCUUAACACAUGCAAGUCGAGGGGCAGCAUGACGGAACUUUCGGGUUUUGUUGAUGGCGACCGGCGCAAGGGUGCGUAACGCGUGAGCAACUUGCCCGUUUCUGGGGAAUAACCGUUGGAAACGACGACUAAUACCGCAUAUAUGGUUUUGAGGCAUCUCUUAAUCAGGAAAGAAUUAUCGGACAAGGAUGGGCAUGCGGGACAUUAGGUAGUUGGGGGUGUAACGGACCACCAAGCCGACGAUGUCUAGGGGUUCUGAGAGGAAGGUCCCCCACACUGGUACUGAGACACGGACCAGACUCCUACGGGAGGCAGCAGUGAGGAAUAUUGGUCAAUGGGCGAGAGCCUGAACCAGCCAAGUCGCGUGAGGGAAGACGGUACUAAGUAUUGUAAACCUCUUUGUCAGGGAACAAAGAGACCACGUGUGGUAAGAUGAGUGUACCUGAAGAAAAAGCAAUCGGCUAACUCCGUG